AAAAAUUUUCGGCUUUUCAUAAACAACAAAAUUACACGAGCUUUUCGAUUAUCAUCUUCUAACUAACAGUUUACUUGGACAAAACAGCUCAAAAUGUCUUUUCCCUGUUGCGGUUGCUGCGGCUCUUAUGGUUGCCCGACUGGCCCUUGUGGCCCCUGCGGUCCGUGUGGACCAUGCCGACCAGGCGGACCGUGCCAACCUUGCGGACCAUGUGGCCCAUGUAGCCCCUGCGGACCGUGUGGCCCAUGCAGCCCCUGCGGCCCAUGUGGAACAUGUGGACCUUGCUGCGGACCGUCGUCAUGCAGUCCGUGCUCACCUUGCGGUCCGUGCGGACCUUGUGGUCCCUGCUGUAGCCCGUGCGGUCCGUGUAUAACGCGCGGUCCAUGCGGCCCUUGUGGUACGUGCGGACCCUGCUGCAAUCCAUACCCGGGCUGCUGUGCGUUCGGUUGCCCGUGCUCCAAAUGCCCGAACCCAUGCCGCUAUCUGAAACCAAAAUACUAAAUAGUAAGGUAACGCUUGCUGGGCAACUGUGGAGUACAAACCUUGGGACUGUGUGUACAGAGGCGGGAUUGUUGCCGAACGAGUUAGUAGAAAUAUGGAGACACUUGGGUUGGAAAUAGAAUUUCAAAUGCAACAAGCGCUGACAAGUAAUGGCGAUCAUUGGACAGCGAGUCGAUCAAGCGGUUACAUAAUAGAUUUCAAAGAAUGCGUCUGCAAUUGCCAUGUGUCGUUUUGUUCAUUUGAUAUUUUGUAUGAAGAUAUAAGAGAAUAAAAAGAGUACACCUUGCAAAGGUAAACAACACCUCAUUGGCACGGAGAAUUUUUUUGUUAGAAAUUUCUGCGCUAACUAAAAACACUUCAGCCCUCACCUAAUGCAGUGCCCUUGCUGGUGCUAUCGACCGACUCCUUGUGGUCCUUAUGGCCCCUUCGGUCCAUGGGGUUGUAUAGGACCAUGCGGUGCCAUAGGUCCAUGCACGCCUUGUGGUGCGCCGUGGGGUUCGUGUCAGCCGUGUGGCAGUUCGUGUUACGGCUCUUCGUGUUAUGGGCGUAGAUGUUGUUAAAGCAAGUUACCAAUGCAAACGAGCGCACGCAGCAAAGCAAGCAGAUGAAGAUUAAUGAAGAAACGCAGCGUCGAUUUGGGCAAUGAAUUGGGUGAAUUCCAAUGGCAAGUGUAUUUCGUUAUAAACAUGUGAACUGCAAGGUGAAAGGCACAAAAAUCAUAUAAAAAUAUUUAAAUAUAAAAUAUCAUUUUUUAAUUUUUGAGAUUUUGUAAAUAAAAGUGUGCAAAAUACUCAAAAACAUAAA